AGCACUCUGGACUCUGAAUCCAGCG
rnacentral:piRNA from 5 species